UUGCCCGUUAGGGCAUGCGAGCGCGUCUUCGUGUCUUCCUUCUCUUCCUUCCUGUGCCGCAGCCGCUCCCUCCUCUUCCUCCUCCCCUCCGUUUGCAUCUUCCUCUACUCCUCCUCCUCCGCCGCCUCCCUCCGUAGCAGGACCUCCACCACCACUACGACCACAUCUUCCAACGAUGACAGCGAGAAAAGGACGAGUCGGAGGUCUGCCGCCUUCUGCGAUUACUCCCAGGGACAAUGGGUCUACGACCCGCAGGCUGAGCCCCUCUACGACCACACCUGCAAGGAGAUCUUCAAGGGCUGGAACUGCAUCGCCAACAACAAGCAGAACGCCCUUGAUUUGACUAAAUGGCGCCCUUGAUCUGACUAAAUGGCGUUGGCAACCCUACGGUUGCGAUCUCCCUCGCUUAGAUCCCCUCCACUUCCUCGAACAUUUCCAUAAUACUAAUAUCGGUUUUGUCGGCGAUUCGUUAAACAGGAACAUGUUCGUCUCGCUUGUUUGCUUGCUCAGACGGGCUUCCAAUGAGGUGCGGAAAUGGCGGCCUGCCAAGGCCGAUCGGGGGUUUACAUUUUUUAGAUUUAACCUUACGAUUGCAUACCAUCGGACGAAUCUUUUGGCCCGUUCCUCCCUGUAAGGAGCUAUAUUGUUGCUUUUAUGAACUUGCAUUGGUCCUCGUUAUAUUUCUCCUUGGGUUUACGGAAGGGCGCAGAUUUGCACUAUCGAUCUUGAGGAUUUGAAGUGCCUAUGCUGCAGAGCGUGUGAAGCAACUUAUCUGCUCGAGUAAGAUAUUUGAGAUUUUUUAAAAUCUCCCCUGAAACACAAAAUUGCCAAGUUAUUUUGCCUGUCAAAUGUGGAAUCUAGAAACGUCAAGGUCAGAAUGCAUUGUGGGUCAGAUAGUCAGCCCAAUGGAUGUAUCGCCAUAAAGUAAGGCGUAGGUUUGUGCUUGGCUUUGAUAUUCAUGGUAGCAAGGAAAACGUGAUUGUGAAGACUUCCCUAAACUUUCAGAUCUGAAAUGCAAUGUAGUGGCCUCAGAAAUUUGGACUCAUAAUUCAAGAAUGGCUUCCCUAGUUUACAUAACUGAUUAAUCCACUGGGCUUCCAAUUGACGAUCCUGAUCGGCUUGUCAAAGUUAAGGAGAUGCUGAGAAAUGUGCUUAGGGAUGACCGAGACAAGCGCAGUGCCAAAACAGCGGUGUCAAUUGGUGUAGCUGAUACGGACAGGAGACUUCACCAAAUGAUGUACGCUGACCGUGAGCUUGCGGUGUAAGGAUUGGCCUAAGCUCCUGUUUGAUGCAGUGUGCACAUUGAUUGACAUGCAGUAUGUUGUUUUCCAUGCAACUAUUAUGGCUGAGGGAUGAGAAGCAUUUCAGGUAUCACUUCAUUUGUUUCUGGAAUUAUGCCAUUGUUAACUUGCAGUUUUCAUAUGGAAGACUUCUUUAUAGCAUAUUGACAUUCACAAAGUCAAAAAGCCAAUCCAAUUGAAGAACUGUUCUGGAACUAUGAAAGAAACCCUUGAGCUAAAUGUCAAGCUCUUUUGAGAGCUAUGCUUCUGAGAACCCUGUUCUUGGGGAAAAACAGUGUAGCAGUAUGUACUGUAGAGACAUUUACUUCUUGCAACGGCUUCUUCUCCCUGUCUGGUUGAAAUUAAAUCUGCAUCACUCAAGACUGAUAUGAGCAUUUACUCAUGGUGAAGUUCCAUUUUAUAGCAUUGUGUAUUGGUUGACCAAGCUUCUGCUCUUUCUUUUUUAAUAUAUAGCAUCUUUGUUCGAGUUCACAAACAUAACCUACUUCCUAAUUCAUGAAAUUUAGGAAUAAUACAUUAGGCACAUGGACGAUUGCACCGUUAGUUCGGAAGCAGAGCGGCAACGGCUUAUCCGGUGCUUAGGGGCAGUGAUUUUUCUAUAUACUUGUUAUUGGUAUUUUUCCCAUUCCAUUUUCUCAUACCAUCAAACUCAGAAAUAUAGAAUUGGAAAUAUAUUUCUGAGUCAUCACACACACACCAAAAUUGGAAUUGGAAAAAAAUUUUCCAUUCCAUUUUUCCAUUUCCUAUAUUUCCAGAAAUAUAUUUCCAGGCCAUCAAACUUUGCUUAGUGAAGGGACAAAGGGCAGUGAUUGCCUGUUUUAAAGUCCAUUAAUGCCUUUGCAUAUGCUGUCUUCAAGUAUUCUGCUGCUACACAUUAUCCCUUGAGAUGAACAAAAGGAAAAAGGCUGGUAGCUUCCUUAUGAACUAAGGAUCUGCGCAGGACACUAGAUUGGACAAAGUUAAAAGUCCAAGGAUGUGACAAAGAAACCAUACUAUUUUGUAUGUUAUACGGGGCAAUUUUGAUAUUUUAGUUCUUGUGUGCACUGAGGUAUAUAUUGUCUUUUUGCAGGGCACAUUAAGUUUCCAUCUUGUUUGAUACAUAUCCUCUCCACUUCGUCUUCUUCUUCCUCUUUUUUAUGCAUAGUUCACUAUUUUUCAUCAUCUUCACAUUUUCCUCUGUUCUUUUGUCAGGGAUUGAGUGCAGGGGAACAAGAUUUAGGAAAUGCUUAGGUCUUGAUCUGAUUAUCUGUUUUUAAGGUUUCAUAUUUUUGUGCAGCAAGCAGUGGUAAUAGACCAUUCAACAAAUUUCAAGGUUGGGACCUAUUUUGGUUCCCAAAAGCAUUUGGACAAUCAUAAAGAAUGGGAAUCUGAACUUGAAAAAUAUGAGUAUGGUGAAUAGGUAUGUUUUCCUAUGGGUUUUAAGUGUUUGCCACUGUACCUAUGCUUGUUAGACCGACGCUCGGUGCGACUGAAUGCAACUGGGAAGGAAUCGGGAGGCCGAUCCCACCCAAUCAAUCAUUCGAUCAAAUUACUUAUGCCGUGAAAACCCUCUGAUGAUCCGAUUGGGACAAAUUUCAAGGUAAUCUUCCUGUUUAGAAAUGAUUGGAACGAAUGUCUACAUGUUAGAGAAUUGGGUUACAGAAUUGAGAAAAGCACCAGGAAGGUCUGUCGGUACUUAUUUUUUCCUGCUAGCCUGCCAGAAGUCGUGUACAGCCAUAUGGUCUACCGUCGAUCUUCGCCCUUGAGAUGAAAUCUGCUGUUGAAUGCUCGCCAUUGAGAGACUCUGCUAUGCAAUUCGAUGGUGGUCGUUGCCUCUCAGUUUCACCGUGGUCAUGAAACUUGCACAAUGCUCCACGCUCAACACUGCUGCUGGGAAAAUCGGUGGACAGAAAUGAAGCUGAUGGGAGUCCGGCCACCGUCUGCCUCGAUAUCAGCCAAUGUCGCCUCCUGGUGAAGAAGAACCAGCGGAGGGUUUUCUUGAACAGCAAGACAGCCACCCAAACAAGGAAAAACAUGGAAGAGAAAGAAGAAGAACUCCCCGCGAGGGAGUAGAGACCGACUUCAAAGCAUCAUUAAUUCUGGAUAGGGUUCAUUACAGAGUUAACGAUCAUUUAUACUGUA